rnacentral:pre_miRNA from 1 species
UGAGAGUUUGCGAUAAUCUUCAUUUUAGAAUUUAACAAAUGAGGAGUCACAGACUUGAUU